rnacentral:rRNA from 1 species
UACGUAGGGGGCAAGCGUUGUCCGGAUUUAUUGGGCGUAAAGAGCGUGUAGGCGGCUUCACAGGUCCGCUGUGAAAACUCGAGGCUCAACCUCGAGCUGUCGGUGGAAACCGUGUGGCUAGAGUCCGGAAGAGGAGAGUGGAAUUCCCGGUGUAGCGGUGAAAUGCGCAGAUAUCAGGAAGAACACCCGUGGCGAAGGCGGCUCUCUAGUACGGUACUGACGCUGAGACGCGAAAGCGUGGGGAGCGAACAGG